GUUUGGUCUCACAGCUCGCAGCAGGAUGCAACCACCGUGCCUGCGUGUCACUCUUCAGGAGACCCCUGGCCACCUGCUCGAGCAUCCAUCUUUGCUCCCAGCUCGUUAGAAGCACCCUGGGAUUUGCUGUGGAGGAGCAGCAGUCAAUGCGUGCUUUGUUCUUUCUCUGUUCUUGAAAUCUUCACAAUAUCCUAGGAGAAAGAGGGAAGGCAUGCAGGUUUCCCCACACACCGCUGAGGCCCUGGCCAGAUUUACCUCCCCUGGCCUGCACCUCACAGCACUCCCACCCCAGCCCUGGGCUCAUGGGAGCAGGGCCCUGAGUUCUGCCCUUGGCAGCCCUCUUGGAACAGCCAUGUCCUGCACACACUGCCUGAUCCCCAGGCACCCGCUGCUCCGCUCUGCACAGGAGCACACCCUGGCCCUGGGCUUCGGUCUUCAGCCUGCUCUCCCUUAUGCCAGAUUUAACCCUCGUUGUUUCCCUUGUUUCAUCACACAGUUACAAGUAAUGAAGAUGAAACACUUAAAGAUGCGCCUGGAAUUGAAUACUUCCUUCAAGGAGCCGACUUGCUCAUUUGGGAAGCACAUCAUACAAGAUGAAAACACUUUUACAGAUUUCCUGGAAUGAUGACAUUGAGUGACUACUGAAAAAACAUCACAUGCCCUUAGGUCACCUUGAGAGUGAGUUGCUCUCUCUGCUUUGGACAAAAAGAAGAUCUGGAAGUCCCCUUCUGGAAGUCCUGCAGCUUUGUGUCCAAACGACAUACAAGGAAAUGCAAAGGAAGGUGGAUAAGGAACUGCUCUCUCUGCAACCUCUUUCCUGAGGCUAGACAUGAAGUUAAUGCUGCUUCUAGUAAUGUUAUCUUCAGAUCUGCAUCUCUUCCCUUCCUGCAGAAGAGAAUCAGUGCUAAGAAGGGUAAAAGAGGCAGAACAAACAGGGCAACAGUGGGGAAUUCUGACGGGUUUGGGUCUGAAGAUUAGAAAUAAGGAAAUUUCCCCAUCCUAAUGGAGAAUGCUCAGGGUAUACAAUUGCCAAGGAGCAGUUUUCCUACAAAAGGAUUGUUUUUGCUGAACUGUUCUGUUGUUGCUUUGUUGUUGUUGCUGUUGUUUGUUUGUUUGUUCGCAGACCAGUGGGAAAGCCAUUCUAGAAGUUGAUUAGGAAUCCUGUCUAUUCUCUGAACAAUGAAUAGCUUGGUGGACAGAACUGUAAACAAACUCAUCUGUUCUAAAUGCUCUCCCAAUUUAAAAUACAGCAUUUAAAAUAUAGCAUUUUUCAAAAGCUUCAUGAAUAAUUAAAAAUAAACUAAUAAGAGAAGGUCA
rnacentral:lncRNA from 1 species